GGGGGGGGGGGGAAAGUUCCCGCAGUACAGGAUGGACCCGCGGCCUAUCAGCUUGUUGGUGGGGUAAUGGCCUACCAAGGCGACGACGGGUAGCCGGCCUGAGAGGGUGAUCGGCCACACUGGGACUGAGACACGGCCCAAACUCCUACGGGAGGCAGCAGUGGGGAAUAUUGCACAAUGGGCGAAAGCCUGAUGCACCGACCCCGCGGGAGGGAUGACGGCCUUCUGGUUGUAAACCUCUUUCAGCAGGGACGAAGCGCAAGUGACGGUACCUGCAGAAGAAGCACCGGCUAACUACGUGCCAGCAGCCGCGGUAAUACGUAGGGUGCGAGCGUUGUCCGGAAUUAUUGGGCGUAAAGAGCUCGUAGGCGGUUUGUCGCGUCGGCCGUGAAAACUUGGGGCUUAACUCCAAGCUUGCGGUCGAUACGGGCAGACUUGAGUUCGGCAGGGGAGACUGGAAUUCCCUGGUGUAGCGGUGAAAUGCGCAGAUAUCAGGAGGAACACCCGGUGGCGAAGGCGGGGUCUCUGGGCCGAUACUGACGCCUGAGGAGCGAAAGCGUGGGGAGCGAACCAGGAUUAGAUACCCUGGGUAGUCCACGC
rnacentral:rRNA from 1 species